CCCUUAGAUGUUCUGGGCCGCACGCGCGCUACACUGAUGCAUUCAACGAGUAUUUCCUUGGCCGAGAGGCCUGGGCAAUCUUUUAAACCUGCAUCGUGAUAGGGAUAGAUUAUUGCAAUUAUUAAUCUUGAACGAGGAAUUCCUAGUAAACGCAAAUCAUCAAUUUGCAUUGAUUACGUCCCUGCCCUUUGUACACACCGCCCGUCGCACCUACCGAUUGAAUGGUCCGGUGAAAUCUCGGGAUUGUGGCCAGUUCACUUUAUUGGGAGUUGGCUGCGAGAACUUGCUUAAACCUUAUCAUUUAGAGGAAGGUGAAGUCGUAACA
rnacentral:rRNA from 1 species